UACGAAGGGGGCUAGCGUUGUUCGGAAUUACUGGGCGUAAAGCGUAUGCAGGCGGACUUUUAAGUCGGGGGUGAAAUCCCGAGGCUCAACCUCGGAACUGCCUUCGAUACUGGAAGUCUUGAGUCCGGGAGAGGUGAGUGGAACUCCGAGUGUAGAGGUGAAAUUCGUAGAUAUUCGGAAGAACACCAGUGGCGAAGGCGGCUCACUGGCCCGGUACUGACGCUCAUGUGCGAAAGCGUGGGGAGCAAACAGG
rnacentral:rRNA from 1 species